UACGAAGGGGGCUAGCGUUGCUCGGAAUUACUGGGCGUAAAGCGCACGUAGGCGGCUCUUUAAGUCGGAGGUGAAAUCCUGGAGCUUAACUCCAGAACUGCCUUCGAUACUGAAGAGCUCGAGUCCGGGAGAGGUGAGUGGAACUGCGAGUGUAGAGGUGAAAUUCGUAGAUAUUCGCAAGAACACCAGUGGCGAAGGCGGCUCACUGGCCCGGUACUGACGCUGAGGUGCGAAAGCGUGGGGAGCAAACAGG
rnacentral:rRNA from 1 species